rnacentral:rRNA from 1 species
CGUAGGGUGCAAGCGUUAAUCGGAAUUACUGGGCGUAAAGCGUGCGCAGGCGGCUUUGCAAGACAGAUGUGAAAUCCCCGGGCUUAACCUGGGAACUGCAUUUGUGACUGCAUGGCUGGAGUGCGGCAGAGGGGGAUGGAAUUCCGCGUGUAGCAGUGAAAUGCGUAGAUAUGCGGAGGAACACCGAUGGCGAAGGCAAUCCCCUGGGCCUGCACUGACGCUCAUGCACGAAAGCGUGGGGAGCAAACAGGAUUAGAUACCCUGGUAGUCCACGCCCUAAACGGUGUCAACUGGUUGUUGGACGGCUUGCUGUUCAGUAACGAAGCUAACGCGUGAAGUUGACCGCCUGGGGAGUACGGCCGCAAGGUUG